rnacentral:rRNA from 1 species
CCCUUAGAUGUUCUGGGCCGCACGCGCGCUACACUGAUGCAUUCAACGAGUCUAAAACCUGCUCUGAUAGGGGUGGGUAAUCUUUUGAAUGUGCAUCGUGAUUGGGAUAGAUGAUUGCAAUUUUUCAUCUUCAACGAGGAAUGCCUAGUAAACGCAAGCCAUCAGCUUGCAUUGAUUACGUCCCUGCCCUUUGUACACACCGCCCGUCGCUCCUACCGAUUGAAUGAUCCGAUGAAUAUCAUGGAUUGAGGAUUAUAGCAGGUUCGCCUGUCUUGAUCUUCGAGAAGUGAAGUAAAUCUUAUCAUUUAGAGGAAGGAGAAGUCGUAACA